UCUACCCGAAGGCGAUGCGCUAACCAGCAAUGGAGGCAGUCGACCACGGUAGGGUCAGCGACUGGGGUGAAGUCGUAACAAGGUAGCCGUAGGGGAACCUGCGGCUGGAUCACCUCCUUU
rnacentral:rRNA from 1 species